UAAGAUUCUACAUUAAACUAUUCUCUGA
rnacentral:tRNA from 1 species